rnacentral:rRNA from 1 species
AGGCCAUACCACCCUGAACACGCCAGAUCCCGUCUGGUCUUGGAAGCCAAGCAGGGCCCGGCCUGGUUAGCACUUGGAUGGAAGAAGCCCAAGUGACCUU